rnacentral:rRNA from 1 species
UACGUAGGUGGCAAGCGUUGUCCGGAUUUACUGGGCGUAAAGGGCGUGCAGGCGGCCCGUUAAGUGCAUGGUGAAAGCUCCCGGCUCAACUGGGAGAGGUCUGUGUAUACUGGCGGGCUUGAGGGGGGUAGAGGAAAGUGGAAUUCCCGGUGUAGUGGUGAUAUGCGUAGAUAUUGGGAGGAACACCUGUGGCGAAGGCGGCUUUCUGGGCCCUACCUGACGCUGAGACGCGAAAGCGUGGGGAGCGAACCGG